AGAAUCAACGCUGGCGGCGUGCCUAACACAUGCAAGUCGAACGAGAAAGGGUAGCAAUACCUGAGUAAAGUGGCGCACGGGUGAGUAACACGUGACUAACCUACCUUUUAGUGGGAGAUAACCUAGGGAAACCUGGGCUAAUACCGCAUAAUACCUACGGGUCAAAGCAGCAAUGCGCUGAAUGAGGGGGUCGCGGUCGAUUAGUUAGUUGGCAGGGUAAUGGCCUACCAAGACUGUGAUCGAUA
rnacentral:rRNA from 1 species